rnacentral:rRNA from 2 species
AUGCAAGUCGUACGCACUGGCCCAACUGAUUGAUGGUGCUUGCACCUGAUUGACGAUGGAUCACCAGUGAGUGGCGGACGGGUGAGUAACACGUAGGUAACCUGCCCCGGAGCGGGGGAUAACAUUUGGAAACAGAUGCUAAUACCGCAUAACAACAAAAGCCACAUGGCUUUUGUUUGAAAGAUGGCUUUGGCUAUCACUCUGGGAUGGACCUGCGGUGCAUUAGCUAGUUGGUAAGGUAACGGCUUACCAAGGCGAUGAUGCAUAGCCGAGUUGAGAGACUGAUCGGCCACAAUGGAACUGAGACACGGUCCAUACUCCUACGGGAGGCAGCAGUAGGGAAUCUUCCACAAUGGGCGCAAGCCUGAUGGAGCAACACCGCGUGAGUGAAGAAGGGUUUCGGCUCGUAAAGCUCUGUUGUUGGAGAAGAACGUGCGUGAGAGUAACUGUUCACGCAGUGACGGUAUCCAACCAGAAAGUCACGGCUAACUACGUGCCAGCAGCCGCGGUAAUACGUAGGUGGCAAGCGUUAUCCGGAUUUAUUGGGGCGUAAAGCGAGCGCAGGCGGUUGCUUAGGUCUGAUGUGAAAGCCUUCGGCUUAACCGAAGAAGUGCAUCGGAAACCGGGCGACUUGAGUGCAGAAGAGGACAGUGGAACUCCAUGUGUAGCGGUGGAAUGCGUAGAUAUAUGGAAGAACACCAGUGGCGAAGGCGGCUGUCUGGUCUGCAACUGACGCUGAGGCUCGAAAGCAUGGGUAGCGAACAGGAUUAGAUACCCUGGUAGUCCAUGCCGUAAACGAUGAGUGCUAGGUGUUGGAGGGUUUCCGCCCUUCAGUGCCGGAGCUAACGCAUUAAGCACUCCGCCUGGGGAGUACGACCGCAAGGUUGAAACUCAAAGGAAUUGACGGGGGCCCGCACAAGCGGUGGAGCAUGUGGUUUAAUUCGAAGCUACGCGAAGAACCUUACCAGGUCUUGACAUCUUGCGCUAACCUUAGAGAUAAGGCGUUCCCUUCGGGGACGCAAUGACAGGUGGUGCAUGGUCGUCGUCAGCUCGUGUCGUGAGAUGUUGGGUUAAGUCCCGCAACGAGCGCAACCCUUGUUACUAGUUGCCAGCAUUAAGUUGGGCACUCUAGUGAGACUGCCGGUGACAAACCGGAGGAAGGUGGGGACGACGUCAGAUCAUCAUGCCCCUUAUGACCUGGGCUACACACGUGCUACAAUGGACGGUACAACGAGUCGCAAGCUCGCGAGAGUAAGCUAAUCUCUUAAAGCCGUUCUCAGUUCGGACUGUAGGCUGCAACUCGCCUACACGAAGUCGGAAUCGCUAGUAAUCGCGGAUCAGCAUGCCGCGGUGAAUACGUUCCCGGGCCUUGUACACACCGCCCGUCACACCAUGGGAGUUUGUAACGCCCAAAGUCGGUGGCCUAACCUUUAUGGAGGGAGCCGC